UAGUAGCCUUCAACCCGUGGCUCUAGACAUCCUGCACCCUCUUCAGAUCAACAAGUCUAUAUUGAUUUGCACUUUGCGACCAUCCUUGUGUUGUCUUAACAGCUCACAUUUAUCUAGUGAGAUUGAUAUUUGUUUUGUUUUUUAGAUCCUCACAACAAAUUUUCAUGGAAGGGAGAAUGCUGAACUUGGUGCCAAAAGAGCUGAAUAUGAACCGUGGCUAUGCUAUUUGUUAC
rnacentral:lncRNA from 1 species